rnacentral:rRNA from 1 species
AACGAACGCUGGCGGCAUGCCUAACACAUGCAAGUCGAACGAGCCCUUCGGGUCUAGUGGCGCACGGGUGCGUAACGCGUGGGAACCUGCCCUUAGGUUCGGAAUAACUCACCGAAAGGGGUGCUAAUACCGGAUAAUGUCUUCGGACCAAAGAUUUAUCGCCUUUGGAUGGGCACGCGUUGGAUUAGCUAGUUGGUAGGGUAAAAGCCUACCAAGGCGACGAUCCAUAGCUGGUCUGAGAGGAUGAUCAGCCACACUGGGACUGAGACACGGCCCAGACUACUACGGGAGGCAGCAGUGGGGAAUAUUGGACAAUGGGCGAAAGCCUGAUCCAGCAAGGCCGCGUGAGUGAUGAAGGCCUUAGGGUUGUAAAGCUCUUUUACCCGAGAUGAUAAUGACAGUACCGUGAGAAUAAGCUCCGGCUAACUCCGUG